GGGGGGGGGCAAGCGUUGUUCGGAAUUACUGGGCGUGAAGGGUUCGUAGGUGGCUCGCUAAGUCAGACGUGAAAUCCCUCAGCUUAACUGGGGGAACUGCGUCUGAGACUGGCGAGCUCGAGUGCAGGAGAGGAACGCGGAAUUCCAGGUGUAGCGGUGAAAUGCGUAGAUAUCUGGAGGAACACCGGUGGCGAAGGCGGCGUUCUGGACUGCAACUGACACUGAGGAACGAAAGCCAGGGGAGCAAACGGGAUUAGAUACCCCGGUAGUCCUGGCCCUAAACGAUGAAUGCUUGGUGUGGCGGGUAUCGAUCCCUGCCGUGCCGGAGUUAACGCGUUAAGCAUUCCGCCUGGGGAGUACGGUCGCAAAGGCUG
rnacentral:rRNA from 1 species